AUGAACAGAAAUAGUCUCCAUAAUCUAAUCUCCAGAAUGCACUAAACCAGGAGAAGAUCCACCUGACUUUUCUGCUUCCACAGGUAUCAUAAUGACAGUUCAUUUUCAGGAUAAUUUCGUUGUCAAAGGAAUGGAAGAAUAUUAAGGAGAACAAGUCCUCAUCUCUCCAAAGACCCUUCAUCCUUCAUUUCACAAUAGUCUUUAUUGGUCUGCUGGAGUUUGCUGGAGGUCCACUCCAGACCCUGUUUGCCUGGGUAUCACCGGCAGAGGCUGCAGAGCAGCAAAGAUUGCUGCCUGCUCCUUCCUCUGGAAGCUUCAUCCCAAAGGGGCACCCGCCUGAUGCCAGCCAGAGCUCUCCUGUACGAGAGAUGCCCUGCCCAGUGAGGAGGAAUCUAGAGAAGCAGUCUGGCCAUAGCUUUGCUGCACUGCGGUGAGUUCCACCCAGUACAAACUUCCUGGCAGCUUCCUUAACACUGGGAGGGGAAAACCGCCUACUCAAGCCUCAGUAAUCUUUUGUAUUAUUCUUAAGAACAAUUUAAAAAACUACUACUCAUA
ensembl:lncRNA novel transcript